GACGAACGCUGGCGGCGUGCCUAAUACAUGCAAGUAGAACGCUGAAGCUUGGUGCUUGCACCGAGCGGAUGAGUUGCGAACGGGUGAGUAACGCGUAGGUAACCUGCCUGGUAGCGGGGGAUAACUAUUGGAAACGAUAGCUAAUACCGCAUAACAGUAGAUGUCGCAUGACAUUUGCUUAAAAGGUGCAAUUGCAUCACUACCAGAUGGACCUGCGUUGUAUUAGCUAGUUGGUGAGGUAACGGCUCACCAAGGCGACGAUACAUAGCCGACCUGAGAGGGUGAUCGGCCACACUGGGACUGAGACACGGCCCAGACUCCUACGGGAGGCAGCAGUAGGGAAUCUUCGGCAAUGGGGGGAACCCUGACCGAGCAACGCCGCGUGAGUGAAGAAGGUUUUCGGAUCGUAAAGCUCUGUUGUAAGAGAAGAACGAGUGUGAGAGUGGAAAGUUCACACUGUGACG
rnacentral:rRNA from 1 species